GGUGAGGUGACCGAGUGGCUGAGGUAGCGGCCUGCAAAGCCGUGCACGCGGGUUCGAAUCCCGUCCUCACCUCCA
rnacentral:tRNA from 1 species